UGUGUCCAAAGCUGGAAGCUGCCCCAGCCAAACACUGGAAACACCCAGCUCUCCACCAAGAUAAACCACGCGAGCCACAGCUUGCGGGCAAUAUCCCAUCUCCAUCCUCACCACUGCUCAGCCCAGACCUCCCUCAUCUUCCUGGCCUGCAGACCUUAGCAGUGGCUGUUCCCACCCCUGGAACACCCUUCCCACCUGGUACCUGAUGCCUGCAGGGCCCAUGCACGGCAUAUUCACUGCUGUAUCCCCAGAGCCUCGCACAGUGCCUGGUGCAGAGAUGAUUUUCAGCAAAGAGGCACUGAAGGGAAGAUACCUAUGUGACUGUGAGGAGACACAGGCUGGACGAUGAAUGUGAUGGCUGGAACUCAAGCAGCCACAGUGGAUCAUAAGGGACGGUGUCUUGCUAUGUUGUCCAAGCUGGUCUCAAACUGGCCUGAAUCAAUGCUUCCACCUCAGCUGCCAGAGGAACCGGGAUUACAGGCCUGAGCCACUGCAGCCAGCCAGUUUGUUAUUUUAAUGUAAAUUCUUAGUAAACAACUCAGGAGCUCUCUUGUCCUUUUAAAAUCCAUUUCAACUUCUGCUAAUCGGAGUGUAUAUUCAGGGCAACUUGAAUCUGUGCUCCUGGGAUGCAAUCCUCAAGCUUGGCCCAAAUAAAGUCUCCGCUGAUAUUAA
rnacentral:lncRNA from 1 species